rnacentral:lncRNA from 1 species
UCCAACCUGCACUUCUCGAAAUUUGAUUAUCUAAUAACAACACAAAAUUUUUCAGAACAUUAGGAUUUCCCGAACCAAGGGUAUUUCCCGACAGGUAGGCCAUAAAAGUGGGACAAUCUCUUUUUUCGUUUUAAGCAAUUGUACUGCACGAACCCAAACGACUAACGAGUGAAACCUAUCAUUUUGCAGCUGCGAGUCAUUUAACACAUCAGUACAUUUUUUCCUUCGCUUUCCAGUUUCUACACCCGUUUGGCAUGUCUCUGUCUCUGGUUACUAUUUCAGAACAGCUGCAAGCCAUACAGACUGUGUGUUCAAAUAUUCAUGGACAACAACAAAAUGGAACACUAGUGAAAGUGAUGAAGUUAGACAUAAGGGACAGGCUCAAGGACUGUUGCGGAAUAACAACUAAAUAUUUCCAAAUUUGCGCGCUAGAAUUGUUAUCUUAGCCUUGUUUACAUUUUGAUUAAUAUUCUCUCUUUAGGUCGACCUGUUCUGAAUGUUUUGAAAUCUGUUGAAUGAAUAAAAAAAAAAUUCAUUUGGAUUUGCGGAAAAGUAAGGAAUUCAAACGCAUUUUAACCACAAUUUACGGAUGAAAAAGAAGUCCUUCGGGAACCUCUCCAAGGAGCCUCGGCGUAUUGGUAGAAUCCGUUCCGUCCAGUCGUCCGUGGAUGCUAAUAAGGGCUGUCAAUAGGUGGCUAAAUAUUUCAGUGUGUUUAGGGAUUUAACUAUUGCCCUAUUGUGUUGGUAGUUUUAGAGGGAAGUAGGGGGGGAGGGUCAUCAAAUUGUCGACAUCAGCAGACGACAUUUUGUCUAACAUUUCUUUAUGUUCGAGACGCUGUCCGAGAAGGUUACCUUAGCCAUUGGCUCAUAGCGGGGCAUUCUCUUUCCGGACGUUUUUCGUCAACGUAUCUGAGCUUCUUCAUUGCAUUACGUGCACGUGAUCGCUGCCUUGUCAUGAAGAGGGUCUCCACUAAUUUGCAAGACAAUUGAGAUGAAUAGAGGAAAUUUGAAAAGGGUUCCUUGUUCAUUUUGAGCUGUUAAUGGUGUCGAGUGUGCACUGGUUUUGCAGUCAUUCAGUCGAGAGAUGCCCUGAGAUGGAUGAUCAACUGCUGAGACUAUUCUCAUAUCAUCAUCUUUUGCAAUGGAGAUCCUGUCCGAGAAGAUUUAGGUUUCCAUGUUCAGUUUGAUGAGUUGUCUUGUUGUGGCUGUUUGGUGUGCAGUGGUUUUCCAGGAGAGAUGCGUUAAAAAUGUGCUUGUGCAGACUUGCACGCAAUGUUGUUGUGGCUUUAGAGUUUUUUUUUUUUUUCGGGAUAAAGCGGCUUAUGUUGGCAAGAUGGCAAUCACAUGCCACUUAGCCUGACGCCAUCUUCUAUUGACACUCAUUUAUAUUGUUCGUGAUCAACGCGGUCAACUUCGACAUUAUUCUUCUUCACAAAUAUCUCACAGGAUUAAUGGCUUGGUGAGGCUGAGCUUUUUCUUGGCAGUGGAAUGUCUACAUGGACAUGUGGUGAGCUGUUGGAUGAUGACCAAUUUUGACCAUGUGCUGGUGUGGGGAAGUGCUGCAUGCUGUCUGUGGUGUUUCCAUCGUCAGUUAAAUUUAGGAGCUAAUUAUGGUGUUGGUCUUUGGUGUGCAGUUCAUGUUCAGGUGGUUUUGUUGCAGCCAGCUGGUGAAAGCGAGUUCCAGUCGAGUUGAGCUGGAGCUUAUUGAAGCAGUCAACAAUGCUGGUGUUAUUCUGAAGUGUAAUAUCAAUGAAGACAUCUUGAAAUGGACUUGUCAAUCUGCUGAAUGCAGUUUAUGCUGUUUUUGUUAUCAAGAAGUGGAGAAGUAAGACUUGAAGCAAAGCUGCAAGAAAAAGAAAUGGAUUUGGUGUAAAUGUGCAGUCGUUUUGCAGUCUGACUCCUGUUCAAGCUGUUGUUAUCCUGAAUUGUGCUGGAGUCUUGGAAAUAGCUGAUCCUGAAGUUGUGAUGCUGGUGUUAUACUGGAGAAGCUGAUGGUGGUGUUAUCAAGUUACUGUGCCAUUGCAAUUUGGGUGGAUAAAGAAUUAUGUCCAUGCAGUAUAUGAUUGUAGUAACCUUAAGCUAUUUUGUUAUCCAAUAUGGCAUGUUACAUCUUGAAAGUUUAAACAGCAGUUGUGCUUCCUGAUAUUAUCCUAAAUCAUAUAUUUUAAAUAAUGGUGUGUCAAAGUCAACUUGCAAUAUUUCGAUGUGCGUUGGAAAUUUAUACUUGAUAUUUUUUCACAAUUAUAUGUGAAAUGUUAUAAUAAAUAAAACACAACCAA